GUGAACGCUGGCGGCUGCCUAAUACAUGCAAGUCGAACGGAGUGGCGCACGGGUGAGUAACGCGUGAGCAACCUGCCUAUGACAGUGGGAUAGCCUCGGGAAACCGGGAUUAAUACCGCAUAGUCAUAGAUGGGCUCGCGUCUGAUUAGCUAGUUGGUGAGAUAACAGCCCACCAAGGCGACGAUCAGUAGCCGGUCUGAGAGGAUGAACGGCGACAUUGGAACUGAGACACGGUCCAAACUCCUACGGGAGGCAGCAGGGGGGAAUAUUGCACAAUGGGGGAAACCCUGAUGCAGCGACGCAGCGUGAACGAAGAAGGUAUUCGUAUCGUAAAGUUCUGUCCUAUGGGAAGCAGUACCAGAGAAGAAAGCUCCGGCUAAAUACGUGCCAGCAGCCGCGGUAAUUC
rnacentral:rRNA from 1 species